AUCGAACGCUGGCGGCGUGGCUAAGGCAUGCAAGUCGAACGGUCCAGAGGGCAGCAAUGUCCUCUGGAUAGUGGCGAACGGGUGAGUAAUAGAAGGAUAACGUACCCUGAACUCGGGGAUAGCGGCGGGGGCAACCCCUUUGCGAAAGCGCCGGUAAUACCCGAUGACCCCGCGGGAUCGCAUGGUUCUGCGGGCAAAGCUCCGACGGUUUGGGAUCGGUCCUUCUCCUAUCAGCUAGUUGGUAGGGUAACGGCCUACCAAGGCUUCGACGGGUAGGGGGCGUGAGAGCGUGGCCCCCCACAUCGGGACUGAGACACUGCCCGGACACCUACGGGUGGCUGCAGCAACGAAUCUUCCGCAAUGGGCGAAAGCCUGACGGAGCGACGCCGCGUGCAGGAGGAAGUCCCUCGGGAUGUAAACUGCUGUCAGGGGCUAGAAAUUUUGAUCGGCCCCAGAGGAAGCCCCGGCUAACUACGUGCCAGCAGCCGCGGUAAUACGUAGGGGGCAAGCGUUGAUCGG
rnacentral:rRNA from 1 species